rnacentral:rRNA from 1 species
UACAGAGGGGGCAAGCGUUGUUCGGAAUUACUGGGCGUAAAGGGCGCGUAGGCGGCCUGUUAAGUCGAACGUGAAAUCCCCGGGCUCAACCCGGGAACUGCGUCCGAUACUGGCAGGCUUGAAUUCGGGAGAGGGAUGUGGAAUUCCAGGUGUAGCGGUGAAAUGCGUAGAUAUCUGGAGGAACACCGGUGGCGAAGGCGGCAUCCUGGACCGAGAUUGACGCUGAUGCGCGAAGCCAGGGAGCAAACGGG